UGCCCAUUGGCCCAGUGGUUAAGGCGUCUGACUGUUAUUCUUGUUCAAUAUAACAAAUAGCAGAUACAUCAGAAGAUCCCUGGUUCGACCCCAGGAUGGGCAG